rnacentral:lncRNA from 1 species
GACCGUCUCACCACUACCACCAGCUGCAUUGCCGUCAAAAUCGCCGCUGCCAAAACCACCACCACCAUCUCCAACAGCCCUGUCAUCUCAAGCACCGCAACUAGCACCACUUCACCACAAACAAAACAGAUACAAAACCGCCAACACGCUCCUGCGUCAUUCCAAUCUUUGUCUUGUCCGUGGCGUCUUUAACUUCCUCGUUCCCUUUUUUGACAUUACCCAAUAUCAUUUCAAUUACCGCUUUUAUUUAUUUAUUUAUUUUC